UGAGGAUCUACCUGUCAGCCGCCCGGACAAGGAAUUCUUUGUGUGCAGAUUUGAGGAGAGGUGCUGGUCGCACCUUUUCGACGUGAUCUGAUGUGGAUUAUUUAGAUUAUGGCAAAGCAUGCGAGAGCUAUCUGGCUACGAGAAAGGAAGAUCCGUGAAGAAAUGAGGAAGCUGGCUUGUAUUCACGAUAAACAUGAGUUUUCCAGAUUUCGAACACAGGUCGAAUUAACAGUGUUCAGGGUUUUUGAAACUCUGUCACUUUAUGGACCACUGGACGCUCUAGAUUUUAAAGUUAAUGUCAGUGGAAGAAAAAGAAGAUAACUUGGUAGUCCCUCCAUUAUUACAUCCCGGAAGAUGUGAACUGAAUUACACCCCAAUAAAAUAAAAUUCGUGCUUAUGCCUGGAAUGCUGAAUGGACAAGAAAGCAAUGUUUAUUGAUCACGUAUCUUAUAUCAAGUGUUGUCACUGCGUAGAAUAUAAGACCUUUUAUUUUAGCCAAGGUCGGAGAAAAGUUUUUUAGCCUCAUAAAAUUGCAGUUGCUCAAGCAUUUAAAAAAAAAGGAAAAAAAAAAAAAACAAAGAAAAACAUAAAUAUUAAUUAAAACAAUCUACGAAUCUUAUAUGUAAAGCUUUCUUGAAGAUGUGGAUUAUUUACAAACUCGGAAAUGACUAUGGGGAUUUAAAGAAAAAUGGUAAAAGUAUGUUUAUUAAAUAAAAAAGUAUCUUCAGCGGAUUUAAUGCUCAAUAAAUUUUUAUAAAUUUGGAAAUAUCAGCUGCGAGAUUGAGAACAUCAUUAUUCAGUCAUAGAUUAAAAAUAUGCAGGUCCAUAAAAUGGCUGAAAUUACCUUACUGCCGUUUAAAUGUGAAAUACUUAAGCAGAAAGCUUAAGAAAUGAAAUAUUAUAGAAAGUACAAAACAUAAAUUCACUUGGUAGAAGAAAAGAAUGGUACAGAGGAGUUUAUGCAAAAUAUAUAGUAACGUCAGUUAUGCAGUAUUAUCCGUUGCUUCCGAGCAAGUGUGAAGCGACAAACAAGACAUGAAAAAGUGGGCGGGACACCAGAACUUUACCUAUUCGUUUUACAGUACUCUACUUUCUGUACACUGUACUUUCUGAAUAGCUCCCUGUGAAUAUUGGAGAACACUCUGAUGGACGGAUCCGAGGAUUUUUCAACCAGUCCUUUCCUGCCACCAAGACUGUGUGGAGGAUUUAAGUGUUCCCCAUGCCUUACAGAUAUUGAACACUUAUAAACAUUCGACUUCUGCAUCGUACUGCCAGGGAUUUCUAUCAGGGCCCUACGAUAUGGCUGUCAGUGUCGCUACUACACGGAUCAGAAUGACAAAGCGACGUACAUCUCUCAAAGCUGAGUGAGAAUAAAAAUUAAGUGAACGAGAAUAAAAAGUAACAACGAUUUUAGCAAUUUUUAAUGCAUUGUUAGACCUCAUCUAAUGGACCACAGCAUUUUGGUGGAAGUAAUGAAGUUUGGAUUUUGAUGGGUAACCAUUACAAGGGUGCAUCGUGAGUACAUCUAACGCCCCUGAAGGUAUCAUCGCUGAAGGUUUACAACACCAAUGUGGCCUUAAAAAGACGUUAGAUAAACGUGACUAUCGUCUGCUGUCAAGACUCUUUUCGUGCCACAGACGGGAAACAAUCUGGCAACUAAAACCAGAAUUCAGUGCUGAAGACGCAAUAAGCAUCAGCAUCCAGACUAUACAGCUACUCUGCAGGAUAUGGACUUUAGAACUGACGGGUUUUUCGAGUUCCCUUGAUGACUAUACGACAGAGCAAUGCGUUUCACUUGAGCAUGGAAACACCAAUACUGGGCACGUGAUGAAUGGAAAGAGAAGCGUGGUAUAACGAGUCACAUUUUCAAAUGCAUCGGAAUAUGGAAGGAUUUGCAUGUGACGCAAACCCCAUAUAUCUUUCGUGUCAACAGGAAACUGUACCGACUGGUGAGAGGAGCCUAAAUGGCAUUGGGUGUAUUUAACUGGAAAUUACAUUUACAAACGGUAUGUGUACAUUCUUUCUGACAAAGUACGCACGUUUAUAACAAAGUAUACUUAUAUAUAUGCUAGUAAAAUUUUACCUGAUCUAAGAGGACAAUGCGCUCACACGCAAAUGUCGGAAGGCUGAUAUUAUAGUUACGGAAACAUUCAUCUCAGCUUUGGAGUUUUGCUAUUUCCAAUCAGGACCACAUAUGCUAACAUUAUAAAACAUAUUAGGGAUACCAUACAACAAGUUAUCGAAUGGAGAAAUCCAAGAUAUCUUGGUUCGAUUAACUAUAGGUUCGAUAACCUGACUAUCUGUAUCGAAUAGAGAAAUCUAAGACCUGAAUUUUGGAACUAUCUGAUAGAGGUAUAGGAUGCACUGCCUGCAAUAUAUUUCCAUAAAUUUGCUCCAUCGUAUUUCUGUGGUCCUUUGCUCCCGGAGUGUACUUAUUUGUGCUUAUCGAACUAUUUGUG